CACUCUGAAUACAAGGGAAUCUAGAUGCUUUUCGUCGCGAAUCCCCACCGUAGCUGCAUUUAGAGAUGUGGCGCUUAAGAAGGUACAGUUGAAAGUCA